GACGAACGCUGGCGGCGUGCUUAACACAUGCAAGUCGAACGGAAAGGCCCUGCUUUUGUGGGGUGCUCGAGUGGCGAACGGGUGAGUAACACGUGUGUAACCUGCCCUUGUCUUUGGGAUAACUUCAGGAAACUGGGGCUAAUACAGGAUAGGAGCUCCUGCUGCAUGGUGGGGGUUGGAAAGUUUCGGCGGUUGGGGAUGGACUGGCGGCUUAUCAGCUUGUUGGUGGGGUAGUGGCUUACCAAGGCUUUGACGGGUAGCCGGCCUGGGAGGGUGACCGGCCACAUGGGGACUGAGGGACGGACCAGACGCCUACGGGAGGCAGCAGGGGGGAAUAUGGCACAAUGGGCGGAAGCGUGUGACAGCGACGCCGCGUUCGGGAUGACGGCCUUCGGGUUGUAAACAGCUGUCGCCUGAGACGAAGCGGUAGUGACGGUAAUGGGUAAAGAAGCACCGGCUAACUACGUG
rnacentral:rRNA from 1 species